CCCGCGUCGCCAUUAGCUUAGGUGGUKGAGGUAACGGCUCCACCAAAGGCMAUCGAUGCGGUAGCCGRCCYUGAGAGGGGUGRUCGGCCMCCACUGGGACUGAGACACGGCCCCAGACUCCUACGGGAGGGCAGCAGUAGGGRAAUCUUCCGCAAUGGACGAAAGUCUGACGGAGCAACGCCGCGUGAGUGAUGAAGGCUUUCGGGUCGUAAAACUCUGUUGUUAGRGAARAACAAGUGCUAGUUGAAUAAGCUGGCACCUURACGKUWCCUAACCAGAAAGCCACGGCUAACUACGUGCCAGCAGCCGCGGUAAUACGUAGGUGGCAAGCGUUAUCCGGAAUUAUUGGGCGUAAAGCGCGCGCAGGUGGUUUCUUAAGUCUGAUGUGAAAGCCCACGGCUCAACCGUGGAGGGUCAUUGGAAACUGGGAGACUUGAGUGCAGAAGAGGAAAGUGGAAUUCCAUGUGUAGCGGUGAAAUGCGUAGAGAUAUGGAGGAACACCAGUGGCGAAGGCGACUUUCUGGUCUGUAACUGACACUGAGGCGCGAAAGCGUGGGGAGCAAACAGGAUUAGAUACCCUGGUAGUCCACGCCGUAAACGAUGAGUGCUAAGUGUUAGAGGGUUUCCGCCCUUUAGUGCUGAAGUUAACGCAUUAAGCACUCCGCCUGGGGAGUACGGCCGCAAGGCUGAAACUCAAAGGAAUUGACGGGGGCCCGCACAARCGGUGGAGCAUGUGGUUUAAUUCGAAGCAACGCGAAGAACCUUACCAGGUCUUGACAUCCUCUGAAAACCCUAGAGAUAGGGCUUCUCCUUCGGGAGCAGAGUGACAGGUGGUGCAUGGUUGUCGUCAGCUCGUGUCGUGAGAUGUUGGGUUAAGUCCCGCAACGAGCGCAACCCUUGAUCUUAGUUGCCAUCAUUAAGUUGGGCACUCUAAGGUGACUGCCGGUGACAAACCGGAGGAAGGUGGGGAUGACGUCAAAUCAUCAUGCCCCUUAUGACCUGGGCUACACACGUGCUACAAUGGACGGUACAAAGAGCUGCARGACCGCGAGGUGGAGCUAAUCUCAUAAAACCGUUYUCUKUUCGGAUUGUAGGCUGCAACUCGCCUACAUGAAGCUGGAAUCGCUAGUAAUCGCGG
rnacentral:rRNA from 1 species